AGAAGUUAAAAGAUUUUGCUGGGUAAUUCCUUUUCUUAAUUUAAAUCCUACUGAUAAUUUACUGAUUAUAUGUUGAGUUACUUUUUAGCUUCAGUGCCUGUUGUUGCAUAUUCUUAGAUAUGUUCUUUAUUAAAAUUUUGAGCUUCUAUGGCAUUGUGGUCUAUUCUGUUCCAAUUCUGGAGAAUCAAGUGACUGGGGCCUAUCCUGCUUGGAUUGUUUUGGUUUGAUUAUGCAAACAAGAUGCUUGAUUAUGUAAAUAUUUAGUCGAGUAUGUGUGACUCGGGUUAAGGGCUGCAGAAGGAAAGCUUUAACUGGUUUGUAUCAACGUAUUAAACCCUGCUAUUUGAAACAUUUUUUAUUUUUGCCCAUUGAAGCAACUUUUUUUUAUGAUAUUUUAUCUCAAUUUUAAUGAACCCUUUGCAUCCAUUUCUAGCAUCGUCAAUAAAUGUAGAUUGCAUUAACUGAAAAAGCUGUUGAAUUUACAGGUCUGUUGCAAAUGGAGCUCUGA
rnacentral:misc_RNA from 1 species